UAAAGCAUUCAGUUACCAGACUGAUUUUCUUAAAGGGGGGGAAAAAAGGCAAAAUGGUCUGUUUGCCUUCAGUCCGCAGCCAAGAAAUAAAGUUCCAACAGGUACCUUCACUGUAUCCAGCGGAUACCCCACUGCUGUGCUUAGACCACCUGCAACAGACAUCUUAUUGGACAUGGUU